GCUUAAAGGGGCCGUAGCUUGAUAAUAGGGUCCCUUGAGAAAUCCGCCGGCUUAACUGGCGGGCGUUCAGGGGAAACUUGUUUUCUAGGGACCGGGAGAGGUGAGGGGUACUGCCGGGGUAGGAGUGAAAUCCUGUAAUCCCGGUGGGACCACCUAUGGCGAAGGCAUCUCACCAGAACGGGUCCGACAGUGAGGGACGAAAGCUGGGGGAGCAAACCGGAUUAGAUACCCGGGUAGUCCCAGCUGUAAACUAUGUGCGUUAGGUGUGUCAGUGACCACGUGUCACUGAGGUGCCGAAGGGAAACCGUGAAACGCACCGCCUGGGGAGUACGGUCGCAAGGCUGAAACUUAAAGGAAUUGGCGGGGGAGCACCACAACGGGUGGAGCCUGCGGUUUAAUCGGACUCAACGCCGGGAAUCUCACCGGAUAAGACAGCUGAAUGAUAGUCGGGAUGAAGACUCUACUUGACUAGCUGAGAGGAGGUGCAUGGCCGUCGUCAGUUCGUACUGUGAAGCAUCCUGUUUAGUCAGGCAACGAGCGAGACCCACGCGAGCAGUUGCCAGCUUGACCUUCGGGUUGAUGGGGACACUGCUCGGACCGCCUCUGCUAAAGGGGAGGAAGGACUGGGCAACGGUAGGUCAGCAUGCCCCGAAUUAUCCGGGCUACACGCGGGCUACAAUGGACAGGACAAUGAGUUUCGACACCGAGAGGUGAGGAUAAUCUUCUAACCCUGUCCCAAGUUCGGAUUGCGGGUUGUAACUCACCCGCAUGAAGCUGGAAUCCGUAGUAAUCGCGUUUCAACAUACCGCGGUGAAUAUGUCCCUGCUCCUUGCACACACCGCCCGUAA
rnacentral:rRNA from 1 species